UAGGGAAUCUUCCACAAUGGACGCAAGUCUGAUGGAGCAACGCCGCGUGAGUGAAGAAGGUUUUCGGAUCGUAAAGCUCUGUUGUUGGUGAAGAAGGAUAGAGGCAGUAACUGGUCUUUAUUUGACGGUAAUCAACCAGAAAGUCACGGCUAACUACGUGCCAGCAGCCGCGGUAAUACGUGGUGGCAAGCGUUGUCCGGAUUUAUUGGGCGUAAAGCGAGCGCAGGCGGAAUGAUAAGUCNGAUGUGAAAGCCCACGGCUCAACCGUGGAACUGCAUCGGAAACUGUCAUUCUUGAGUGCAGAAGAGGAGAGUGGAACUCCAUGUGUAGCGGUGGAAUGCGUAGAUAUAUGGAAGAACACCAGUGGCGAAGGCGGCUCUCUGGUCUGCAACUGACGCUGAGGCUCGAAAGCAUGGGUAGCGAACAGGAUUAGAUACCCUGGUAGUCCAUGCCGUAAACGAUGAGCGCUAGGUGUUGGGGACUUUCCGGUCCUCAGUGCCGC
rnacentral:rRNA from 1 species